GACUGGUCUAGGUGCAGUGGUGUUUAGAACUAAUUGAUCACAACCAGGUACAGAUUCUUUUGUUCCUUCUCCACUCUCACUGCUUCACUUGACUAGCCUAAA
rnacentral:Y_RNA from 1 species